AGAACGAACGCUGGCGGCAGGCUUAACACAUGCAAGUCGAACGCGUGUAGCAAUACACGAGUGGCGCACGGGUGAGUAACGCGUGGAUAUCUGCCUUUUGGUUCGGAAUAACCCCGGGAAACUGGGGCUAAUACCGGAUGGUUCCUACGGGAUAAAGAUUUAUCGCCAAAAGAUGAGUCCGCGUACGAUUAGCUAGUUGGUGAGGUAAUGGCUCACCAAGGCGACGAUCGUUAGCUGGUCUGAGAGGACGAUCAGCCACACUGGGACUGAGACACGGCCCAGACUCCUACGGGAGGCAGCAGUGGGAAUAUUGGACAAUGGGGGCAACCCUGAUCCAGCCAUGCCGCGUGAGUGAUGAAGGCCUUCGGGUUGUAAAGCUCUUUUGGCGGGACGAUGAUGACGGUACCCGCAGAAUAAGCCCGGCUAACUUCGACGCCAGUAGCCGC
rnacentral:rRNA from 1 species